AACGAACGCUGGCGGCAUGCCUAACACAUGCAAGUCAAACGAGACCUUCGGGUCUAGUGGCGCACGGGUGCGUAACGCGUGGGAACCUGCCCUUAGGUUCGGAAUAACUCCCCGAAAGGGGUGCUAAUACCGGAUAAUGUCAUCGGACCAAAGAUUUAUCGCCUUUGGAUGGGCCCGCGUUGGAUUAGCUAGUUGGUAGGGUAAAAGCCUACCAAGGCGACGAUCCAUAGCUGGUCUGAGAGGAUGAUCCGCCACACUGGGACUGAGACACGGCCCAGACUCCUACGGAAGGCAGCAGUGGGGAAUAUUGGACAAUGGGCGAAAGCCUGAUCCAGCAAUGCCGCGUAAGUGAUGAAGGCCGUAGGGUUGUAAAGCUCUUUUACCCGGGAUGAUAAUGACAGUACCGGGAGAAUAAGCACCGGCUAACUCCGUG
rnacentral:rRNA from 1 species